AGCGGCGGACGGGUGAGUAACACGUGGGUAACCUACCUAUAAGACUGGGAUAACUUCGGGAAACCGGAGCUAAUACCGGAUAACAUUUGGAACCGCAUGGUUCUAAAGUGAAAGAUGGUUUUGCUAUCACUUAUAGAUGGACCCGCGCCGUAUUAGCUAGUUGGUAAGGUAACGGCUUACCAAGGCGACGAUACGUAGCCGACCUGAGAGGGUGAUCGGCCACACUGGAACUGAGACACGGUCCAGACUCCUACGGGAGGCAGCAGUAGGGAAUCUUCCGCAAUGGGCGAAAGCCUGACGGAGCAACGCCGCGUGAGUGAUGAAGGGUUUCGGCUCGUAAAACUCUGUUAUUAGGGAAGAACAAAUGUGUAAGUAACUGUGCACGUCUUGACGGUACCUAAUCAGAAAGCCACGGCUAACUACGUGCCAGCAGCCGCGGUAAUACGUAGGUGGCAAGCGUUAUCCGGAAUUAUUGGGCGUAAAGCGCGCGUAGGCGGUUUCUUAAGUCUGAUGUGAAAGCCCACGGCUCAACCGUGGAGGG
rnacentral:rRNA from 1 species